GCAAACUAGCUCUCACAUGUAGACUAAAGGGAUUCUCAGCAUCAACCACUAAAGGCAUGUGUAUGUUCGUGAAAGAUUAUGGCCAAAUAUGAACGAAACACUAUUUCUCAGUCACCGGCAGGCGAUAAGGGACUACAAAGAAUCUUUUUUUUUCCACUCUCUUCUUUCUUCCCUCCGUUUUUUUUUUUUUCUUCGUCCACUUUAUCCGUUCUUCGUUUUUUUUUGUUUCUUUUCUCUUUUUCUUUCUCUUGUGCUUUUACCACUAUAGCGUCAGCUUGAGAAACAGUCGGAGAGGUCAAUGUCAGGUUCCAAAAAGCAGCUUGGGAAUCUUCCCGUCUUCUCGAUAGACUUGCUUCUUUCAUCUUGGGCAUUUUCGUGGCUGAUGUUUGGCAACUAUGGCCAUCGUCUUUUGUUUCUUCCCUGUUCCUCUCUCUCUCUCUUUUUAUUUCGUGGACGCAGUGUAGAUGUCCUCGGGUUACACUUGUACACUCUUGUGCUGGAUCGGGACCAAACGUGAAAGAAAGAAAAAAAAAAAAGUCAAACUCUUUGUUUGUUUUUUUUUGUUUUUUAUCAACCCCGAAUGACGGUGUGUGCAUUCCACGCUGAUAAAGCAAACAACAAGAGUUGAAAAGCUUUUUUUUUUGUUGUUGUUGCUGUUGUUUCAAUCGCAUUGGUUUGCUGUUUGUUGAUUGUCUAGUUUUCAAGAUUUCUCGAUGGUGUGUCUUUUCUGUGUGGAUUUGUUCUCUGUUUCUAUGUUAACAUUUUAAACAGAACUGCCAAAAUGGAGGAGGGAUGGCUAUCUAGCGUUCCGGAGACCGAAUUGCAUGAGUCACAUAUCUGAUGGGGGAUGAGUUAGAUUCACUAUGUAGAAUGACAAGUCACACUGAACCACUAAAACAGGCAUCCAUUUCUUUUGAAGAGGCAAACGAAAACUGAGAACAAAUGCAAUGUAGAGAAGGAAAACAGGUCAAAUCUUGUAUAGGUACCCCUUUUGUCAGCCAUAGGUUGAUGCAUAUGUGGAACAAAAGCAGCACGGUGUGGCCGUGAGUUGGCGUGAAACGGAAAACUGGCACCGUUCAAACGCAUUGAGCUUUAAACUUGUUACGAUCACACAACUUGAUUGCAUACACUUAUGGCUGUUGAAUGUGACAGAGGAAAGGAAAGUUUGUUCUAUAAUCGCAUAUCACUUCAUCGGCUGUCUCCUAGAGCUACACAUUAACGCAGGUGUAAAAAUGAUGAACUUUCAACUUGCUACGUGGAAAUCGAAAGACGUUGACCCCGUACAUUUGAUCCGGAAGAGGGAAACAACUUCACCCACUGACCAGCUAUUGCAAUCUGCCCCCUUUUUGUGACACGCUUCCGAUUUUCCUUUCCCCACUUUUAAUUUUUAAUAGAUUUUUUUUUUUUUUUACAAGAGAAACAAUAAAAACUACACGAA